CUGAAAGGGGCAUAUAGAACAAACAAUUACAAUGUGAUUAUAUUAACAUCGUUAGUGCAUCUACGGUAAACUGUAAUUGGUGAAGGAAACUGUUUUAUAGUUAAGUGAUACUAAGAAAGAAGCAGUUAUGAAGACUACAGUUCAGUUUCAUGGUGUAAAUCUACAAUUUGAGGGGAAUAUGAUACACAGGAAGACGUGCCAUCACAAAGUGUCCCGCGACAUCAAGAUUCAUUUCUGCAUUGGAGACUGACUUGAAUCUUCGGGGUGAAGUAGGGAUGGUCCCGUUGAAGCAGAAAAAUAAAAAUGAACUGAUGAGAAAAUAGGAUAUAGAAAACUACAUUUCUCUUCUGUUCUCGCCGUCCCACGCGAGCUACAAAUAGCAACCCUUAGACGUGAGAUUUCUUUUGGUCCUCUGAAUGACGCGUACUAACAAGAAGUAGAUAAUUGGUUUGUGACAAAUCCAGGGACGGUAGUGGGUCAGAGCAGUGGCGUACCGUGCAUGGAAACAAUGGAAGUAUUGCUUCCGUAGUUUCGUUAAUCUUCGUAAGAGUUCGUCCCACCCGAAGUUUCUAUACGAAGCAAUUCUGACUGUGAUGUCCAUUCUCCUUGGACUGUGAUGUAGAAGAGAAAAAUGUGUUCUUUCAAUGGUGAUGUGAAAAUGAACUGUUUAUGUGUGAUUUCAGUUCUUGUUGGGCGUUUUAUGUAACAUUAAGUUUUAUUAAAACAUUGUACGUGCAUAUUUAGACAGUGCAGGAUUGUAUUUGUGAUCGUAUUUUAAAAAAUGUUAAACUCCAGAAAGUAAACGAUCCGCGUGCAGGGGAAGCAUUUCCAAUCUCGUGGUACGAGUGGCAGGGGAGUGUAGGAUGCACAGAGACAUUCGAUGGUAACUUGGUCCGGUACGGAAGCUGUAUGGAAUGGUGGCAUGAGGUCGGGAAGGAGAUGGCAGCUUUCUGUGUGACAGCUGUUAAAUUAUAAUACAUGCAUAUUCUUGUACUCCACUCUGCGUUUUCUUUUCCGUCGAGGUGUCUAAGUGCGCAUAUUUUGCGUUUUUUUAAGCACCGCUGUAAAAAGUACAUAGGCUUCUUGUUUAUUUUAUACCUGAUAUUUUUAAUCUAGAGAUGAAUAAAACUUAGUAUACACCUUAAAUUAAUUUGUUACCUAAGACACGCCGUUUAUGGUACAAAAACUG